rnacentral:rRNA from 1 species
UGGGGAAUAUUGCACAAUGGGCGCAAGCCUGAUGCAGCCAUGCCGCGUGUGUGAAGAAGGCCUUCGGGUUGUAAAGCACUUUCAGCGAGGAGGAAGGUGGGUGAACUUAAUACGUUCAUCAAUUGACGUUACUCGCAGAAGAAGCACCGGCUAACUCCGUGCCAGCAGCCGCGGUAAUACGGAGGGUGCAAGCGUUAAUCGGAAUUACUGGGCGUAAAGCGCACGCAGGCGGUUUGUUAAGUCAGAUGUGAAAUCCCCGGGCUCAACCUGGGAACUGCAUUUGAAACUGGCAAGCUAGAGUCUCGUAGAGGGGGGUAGAAUUCCAGGUGUAGCGGUGAAAUGCGUAGAGAUCUGGAGGAAUACCGGUGGCGAAGGCGGCCCCCCUGGACGAAGACUGACGCUCAGGUGCGAAAAGCGUGGGGAGCAAAACAGGAUUAGAUA